GAGGUGGGAGGAGUGCUUGAGCCUGGGAGGUUGAGGUUGCAGUGAGCUGUGAUUGCACCACUGCACUCCAGCCUGAGUGACAGAGUGAGACUCUGUCUCA
rnacentral:miRNA from 1 species